GGCUCAAUGGUUUAGUGGUAUAAUUCUCGCUUAGGGUGCGAGAGGUCCCGGGUUCAAUUCCCGGUUGAGCCC
rfam:Neocallimastix californiae strain G1 LY90scaffold_170, whole genome shotgun sequence.